UACGAAGGGGGCUAGCGUUGUUCGGAAUUACUGGGCGUAAAGCGCACGUAGGCGGACUUUUAAGUCAGGUGUGAAAUCCCGGGGCUCAACCUCGGAACUGCAUUUGAAACUGGAAGUCUUGAGAUCAGGAGAGGUUAGCGGAAUACCGAGUGUAGAGGUGAAAUUCGUAGAUAUUCGGUGGAACACCAGUGGCGAAGGCGGCUAACUGGACUGAUACUGACGCUGAGGUGCGAAAGUGUGGGGAGCAAACAGG
rnacentral:rRNA from 1 species